GCAAACUUUAUUGGGAGCUAGAAAUUUUAGAGGUUCUAUGAAUUCCUAAUAAAUUCAUAGGAAUAACAUUCCACUAUAUGUACAUGCAAAUCACCAACAACAAAAAAAGAAGCUCAAGGUACACAUAUUUGAUCAGUAAACAUCUAUUUAAACAGAGAACUUUAAAGUCACUAUUAUAUCCACAAACAAUAUCUAUAGUAACCAGCAAAAGUCACUAACAAAAAAGUCACCAAGUGCCUAGAACAGCCUAACAGCAUUACCAGUAGUGUACACUCCCCUUCACUAUUCACAAAUUAUGAGGUUAUAUGUGGCCUUGGAUUAUGUGAUCAUCUCCCAACUGUGAAUUCAGCCUUGAGGUGGAGAUUCGGGCUCAGAACCGCCAAUUGAAGAAAAUGACAUGGUUUCUUCCUUUGCCAUAGCCACAAAGUUGAGAGGGACAGUAGAUAGUCUUCUCAUUUCCUUGAAAUAGGUAUUCUGCCGCCCAGAGUAAGAACGGGGUGUUUGAAGCUCUGGAGUUGCACAACCAACUGAGUUUCGGCGUGGUGAAGGGGUGACUGACCCGUUUCCAUUUGUAUGGAAUCCAUUCGUCUUCCUAAAGCUGCUGCUUCUUCUUGGACUAGGUCUAGAACCAUAUAUAGAUUCCUUCUCUGCCAGCAGCAUAUCUUGGAGUUUCUUCUGAUCCCGCGCACGUUUCUUAUCCUCUUCUUUCUGAUGUCGACUCACUUUGUAAUCCUCCAAUAUUGACACCAAUCUCACCCCAUCGUACAGAAACAACUUCUGAUUCUCAUUUUCCCAAGCUAGUGUCCGGCUAAUCAAACUGUCAACCAUACCUGGAAUCUUAGUCACUGUAAUUCUUGCUCGUUCUGCUCGCUUUAGAUUUAUAUGAGCACCUCUUCCACCGCUGUAACGUGUAUGAUCCAGGUUAUAAUCUUCAAGCCAGUUUUCCUCAUCACAUGAUGAAAGCCACCGCUCUAUCUUAUCCAUAAUUUCUUUUCGGCUUAAAGCUUCAUCCUUUACUUUGUUUAUUUGUGCUUCAAUAUUUGCCAGGAGCUCACAAGGGUCCACAAGACCAGAGUCAAUCAUUGCACUGGAUUUAUCAGCAGCGGUACUUGAAUCAGGUUGUAUAUGGGUUCUACAGCACAAAUCCUCCAGUUCUGCCCUCCUUUUCAUCACCAACUCUUUCAUUCUGCUUGCUUUCAACUUGGUAAGCCUCCCAACUUCUGCUGAUACCUGUUGAAUAACCUCCAAUGUAAGUGCACCUGGUUCAACAACUUUUGAUUCAGAAAUGUCAAGAAAGGAAAUGAUCCUUGAUAACUUACGCCUUUCUUCUCUCGUUGUAUCCAUCAACUUCCAAAGCUCAAACAGAGAUCCCGCCACGUCCUUUAGCUUCUGAUAUCGAACUUUUCUUUCUGUUUUCAGUUUAAGGAUAGCCUGGUCUAGACCUUCCAAUGUACUGUCACUGAUGUUUGUGUACUGUCCCAUGCUUGUCUCGUGCAAACUAGGAUGCACAUUGCUUACAGUUUCACCAAAAUCCAGCCCAAGUACACCGCACAAUGUAUGAACCUCAUUCACACUGUCCAGAACUCUUUGGACACGCACAGACUUCUCCUUUUGAAGAGCACGUAGAUGGGAUUGGCAUUCAGAGAGCUUUCUCGUCGACAAGUCAUGUUCUUCCAAGUUUAAGGUGCUAAGAGAAUUGACAAUAUUACAAGACCCUGAAAUCUCACUAGUUAUUUUCUCAAUUUGCGUCUUUAUAUCUGCGAACUGCUUAACUCUCUCAUCUUUCUUUGCUUUUAAAUCAUCAACAAGAGGCAUGAUUAACCCAAGCUGCUCCUUCAAUGAAGCUGACAUCUUCUCUGACUGUAUCGGUGAAUUAAUGUUGUGUUCACCAAGAGCAGCCAUUAAGGUUGCAAGCUCAGCUUCUUUAGCUGCAACAGACUGAUGAAGACGUGAUUUUGCAUUGGCAGCUUCUUCAACUUUUCUUCGAUAGACUUCCAUACACUCUCUUUCCAGCUCCAACAGCAUACGGUCUUUAUCAACUUCACUCUCUCCAAUAUCAGUCCAUAUUUGCUGCAGUUCUCUAAGUAAAGAGUGGCAAGUAGAGCUUGUACCAUGAGCAUUACUCGUAGGACUUCCAAAAGCCAUCAUUUUUACUACUGUUGAAUGAUUAUAUCAGUACCCUUUUAAAGAAUUUGUCCCUCAAAGCUUCAAAAAAAGACUAGUUUAUACUUUUCUCUUCACUCCUUGAAGUCAACGUCAGUAAAAGAAAUGACCAUGAGAUCAUCAGCAACACUUGUUCUUCCCAUCAGAUCUGAAGUUCCCAAACACCAAGAACCUCAAUUCUCACCACACCCACUAGAGUACCUACUACAAAGACUACAACUUUACACUUAGUUUUUGUUGCUUUUUGCUACUUUUUUGCCUUUUACUUCAAGAAGUGAAACAAAAAGUAGAAUUUAGAAGAAGUGGGUACGAAGGAAAGUACUAGAAGGACAAUAAACAACAGCAACCAAAAAGAGAAAAACUGAUUCUUUUACUCUGUUUCUAACCAAAAGUGAGAAAUGGAGAGUAGUGAGGAAGAAGAAGAGUGAACGAGGGUAUUUGGGUUAAUGGGUCGGGUCAAAAUACAAGCAAUGUAAACGGAUCUAUGGGCAUUUAGCUCGGGUUUCA
rnacentral:misc_RNA from 1 species